GCGGCAACUAGUUAGCGGCAGUCACGUGGUUAAGUAGCCUGCGCGCGUGUGGCUGCAUGUGUUCAGAGUGUGUGGACAUGACGACCAGGAAAAAAGAAACAAUGCGGCGCCUCAGGUAAAAGGAGUGCAAAGGCAAAACUUGGACUUCACAUGGGAAUGUACUAAGUUGUCGAGCCACACCUUGACGGCAGUGGGCUGAAUCCUCGCCGUGCCCUUAAUGUGGUGCCCCUAAUGUGGUGCUCCAGCUUCCACCUUCACCACCACCACCACGACCACCACUCCCGCAGCAAGGGCACGAUGGCAGUGUUCACCCCAGGAAAGCAUCCCCAGGCUACCCCGCUGGAUGACCCUCCUCGGCGCUUCCCCCGGACGUGAGUAUACUAGAAAUGGCCUCACCUGUGGCUCCUACCUGUUGGGCGUCUGUGUUGCCCUGCACUGGCGCCCGCACAGAUGAUUGACGUAUAUAGUGCACGUGUAGCUUGGGGUACUGCUGUAGUUGUUAUUGUUGUAGUGUGAUCCUCGUAAAGGAAUCAAAUGCAUGUCUUAUUUCCGAGAAUAACAUUGUUACAGUCUUGCUGAAACAAAGUGCUUGUGUCAGAGGCGGCGACCGUAUAGCUUAUUGUUCCACGGGCCAAGCAUUGUUGUAGGAAUCCCUUAGUGGAUCUGUGGAGAAGGGGAGCGGGGCGGGGACAGAUCAGGGUGUGGUACUGAUGUUGACGGGGCGCGGAUGGGGCGUGACGGGUACGUGGAUGUGGACAGGGAAGGGAGAGGAUGUAGAUGGAGUGGUAUGUGAUAGGGCAGGACAGGGAUGGGUAAGGGCACGGCAGAGGUGAGCGAGGCGAUGAUGGCGGGGAUAGGAAUGGGUGGAGCGGAGCGAGGCGGGGCUAGGCAGGGCUAGGCGGGGCGGGGUUGGGCGACCAUUACCCUGCUGAGGACAGGACGCGACCCCUUCCCUUUGUGCGUCGCCGUGCGUCACCCUGCUCGUAAUUCAUACUUGACGCUCCUCCCUCGGGGUGGCGCUCACUCACACACACACACACACACACACACGUACGUACGUAUAUUUG